AGAUUGAACGCUGGCGGCAUGCCUUACACAUGCAAGUCGAACGGUAGCAGGCCUUCGGGUGCUGACGAGUGGCGAACGGGUGAGUAAAGUAUCGGAACGUACCAUUCAGUGGGGGAUAACGUAGCGAAAGUUACGCUAAUACCGCAUAUUCUGUGAGCAGGAAAGCAGGGGAUCGCAAGACCUUGCGCUGAUUGAGCGGCCGAUAUCAGAUUAGCUUGUGGUGAGGUAAGAGCUCACCAAGGCGACGAUCUGUAGCGGGGUCUGAGAGGAUGACUCCG
rnacentral:rRNA from 1 species